GAACGCUGGCGGCAUGCCUAAUACAUGCAAGUCGAGCGAAUGAUGAAGAAGCUUGCUUCUCUGAUUUAGCGGCGGACGGGUGAGUAACACGUGGGCAACCUACCCUAUAGAUUGGGAUAACACAGGGAAACCUGUGCUAAUACCGAAUAAUACAUUUUCUUUCAUGAGAAGAUGUUGAAAGAUGGUUUCGGCUAUCACUAUAGGAUGGGCCCGCGGCGCAUUAGCUAGUUGGUGAGGUAAUGGCUCACCAAGGCAACGAUGCGUAGCCGACCUGAGAGGGUGAUCGGCCACACUGGGACUGAGACACGGCCCAGACUCCUACGGGAGGCAGCAGUAGGGAAUCUUCCACAAUGGGCGAAAGCCUGAUGGAGCAAUGCCCGCGUGAGUGAUGAAGGAUUUCGGUUCGUAAAACUCUGUUGUAAGGGAAGAACAAGUAGCGUAGUAACUGGCGUUACCUUGACGGUACCUUAUUAGAAAGCCACGGCUAACUACGUGCCAGCCGCGGC
rnacentral:rRNA from 1 species